UCUCUAUUAGUGAACUAGCGGAGGGAUUAUUAUUGGAAUCGUGAGAUCUUGUUACCCUGUGAACCUACCGAAACGUUGCCUUGGUGGGCGUCUGGCCCUGCGUUGGGCGACGUGCCUGCCGGCGGCCCCCUAUACCGUCUCUAUAGCGUAGUAUCUCCGAGCGGUACGAAACAAGUUA
rnacentral:misc_RNA from 1 species